rnacentral:rRNA from 1 species
GAGGACGGGGGGUGAACCAAGCCAUGCGAGUCAUUGUAGCAAUACAAGGCAGACGGCUCAGUAACGCGUAGUCAAUCUACCCUAUGGACGGGAAUAACCUCGGGAAACUGAGAAUAAUGCCCGAUAGAACAUUAUACCUGGAACGGUUUAUGUUUCAAAUGAUUUAUCGCCGUAGGAUGGGACUGCGGCCUAUCAGUUUGUUGGUGAGGUAAUGGCCCACCAAGACUAUUACAGGUACGGGCUCUGAGAGGAGUAGCCCGGAGAUGGGUACUGAGACACGGACCCAGGCCCUAUGGGGCGCAGCAGGCGAGAAAACUUUGCAAUGUGCGAAAGCACGACAAGGUUAAUCCGAGUGGUUUCUGCUAAAGAAACCUUUUGCUAGUCCUAGAAACACUAGUGAAUAAGGGGUGGGCAAGUUCUGGUGUCAGCCGCCGCGGUAAAACCAGCACCUCAAGUGGUCAGGAUGAUUAUUGGGCCUAAAGCAUCCGUAGCUCGUUUUGUAAGUUUUCGGUUAAAUCCAUACGCUCAACGUAUGGGCUGCCGGGAAUACUGCAUAACUAGGAAGUGGGAGAGGUAGACGGUACUCGGUAGGAAGGGGUAAAAUCCUUUGAUCUAUUGAUGACCACCUGUGGCGAAGGCGGUCUACCAGAACACGUUCGACGGUGAGGGAUGAAAGCUGGGGGAGCAAACCGGAUUAGAUACCCAGGUAGUCCCAGCUGUAAACUAUGCAAACUCAGUGAUGCAUUGGCUUGUGGCCAAUGCAGUGCUGCAGGGAAGCCGUUAAGUUUGCCGCCUGGGAAGUACGUACGCAAGUAUGAAACUUAAAGGAAUUGGCGGGGGAGCACCACAAGGGGUGAAGCCUGCGGUUCAAUUGGAGUCAACGCCGGGAAUC